ACACGUAGCCAUUAUGCCCAGAGGACGUGGAUAAUCUCGGGAAACUGACAAUAAACCGCGAUAGGUCAAGAUUUCUGGAAUGAUUCUUGGUCAAAAUCUAUAUGGCCUCUGGAUUGGACUGCGGCCGAUCAGGCUGUUGGUGAGGUAAUGGCCCACCAAACCUAUAACCGGUACGGGCUCUGAGAGGAGAAGCCCGGAGAUGGGCACUGAGACAAGGGCCCAGGCCCUAUGGGGCGCAGCAGGCGCGAAACCUUUGCAAUAGGCGAAAGCCUGACAAGGUUACUCUGAGUGAUUUCCGCUAAGGGGAUCUUUUGACACCUCUAAAAAUGGUGUAGAAUAAGGGGUGGGCAAGUCUGGUGUCAGCCGCCGCGGUAAUACCAGCACCCCGAGUGGUCGGGACGAUUAUUGGGCCUAAAGCAUCCGUAGCCGGUUUUACAAGUCUUCCGUUAAAUCCAGCCGCUCAACGGAUGGGCUGCGGAGGAUACUGUAGAACUAGGAGGCGGGAGAGGCAAGCGGUACUUAGUGGGUAGGGGUAAAAUCCACUGAUCCAUUGAAGA
rnacentral:rRNA from 1 species